UGAAAAUUAGUGGGUAAUUAGCCUGAAUAAACUCAGAAAGCAAGUGUUGUCUAUCAGCUUCUUCCUUCGGUUCGUACGGGAAAGGAGUUAAAUAACAGCACUACAUUA